GACGAACGCUGGCGGCGUGCCUAAUACAAGCAAGUCGAGCGGAAGUUGGAGGGCUUGCUCUUCAACUUUAGCGGCGGACGGGUGAGUAACACGUGGGCAACCUGCCCUGCAGAUCGGGAUAACUCCGGGGAACCGGUGCUAAUACCGAAUAGUUUUCGCCACCUCCUGGUGGCGUACGGAAAGACGGUUUCGGCUGUCACUGCAGGAUGGGCCCGCGGCGCAUUAGCUAGUUGGUGGGGUAACGGCCCACCAAGGCGACGAUGCGUAGCCGACCUGAGAGGGUGAUCGGCCACACUGGGACUGAGACACGGCCCAGACUCCUACGGGAGGCAGCAGUAGGGAAUCUUCCGCAAGGGACGAAAGUCUGACGGAGCAACGCCGCGUGAGUGACGAAGGUUUUCGGAUCGUAAAACUCUGUUGUGAGGGAAGAACAAGUACCAACUAACUACUGGUACCUUGACGGUACCUCACCAGAAAGCCACGGCUAACUACGUGCCAGCAGCCGCAGUAACAC
rnacentral:rRNA from 1 species